AUUCAGUUGGUAGAGCAUGAUCCGCGCUUGCCAAGGCUGGGGUCGCGAGUUCGAGUCUCGUUUCCCGCUCCA
rnacentral:tRNA from 1 species